CGCAGGCGGCGGGGAAGUGGCCGGCUCUGCCGCCCCAGCUGACGCUCCAGCGCAAGGUACGGGAGCACGCUGGGGCAGCCACAGGGGUAAGGACGCCAAGGGGGCGGGGCUCACCACCCAGAUGUCAUCCCCCAGCGACUACAAAGGCCAGGGACGGCCCAGCAGGAGGGGGGGAAGUGCAGCGGCAGGCGCCCUGGCGUCCAGAAGAACCAAAACCCCGACCCCCCGGGCAGCGAGGAGAGACGGGCUCGGCAGCUGGCGGCUCGCCUUGGGACGCGCCUGGCGACUUCGGCGUGUUGAAAACAGGUCCAGGUGGAGAAACCCCCACCUGCAGAAGAUGUUCAAGGCCACAUUCGCUCUGAGGGACCAUUCAUGACCGUCAAAGGACCUGCUGCAUUCUGCACCCCGAGAAGGUCAAUAUAGCCCCAGCAGCCAGAGGAUCCAGAAGCGUCACCUGCACUCCCAAGCAGGGAGCUGACCCUGCAGGAAGCUGAGGACUGUCUGGGCCACCAGGAUCCCAGCUGGACUACGACCUGGAGGAACAGUUUGGGGGGCAAAACUGGAGAGCGCAGCAGACUGGCACAGAAGCCAGGUAUGUGCCGAGGUUGAAGAUAGAAGUAGCCCAGGGACAGGUGCCAGUAGUUUGCCUGAGCAAGGGUCAGCAUGUUGCAAU